rnacentral:rRNA from 1 species
GACGAACGCGGCGGCGUGCCUAAUACAUGCAAGUAGAACGCUGAAGGAGGAGCUUGCUUCUCUGGAUGAGUUGCGGACGGGUGAGUAACGCGUAGGUAACCUGCCUGGUAGCGGGGGAUAACUAUUGGAAACGAUAGCUAAUACCGCAUAAGAGUAGAUGUUGCAUGACAUUUACUUAAAAGGUGCAAUUGCAUCACUACCAGAUGGACCUGCGUUGUAUUAGCUAGUUGGUGGGGUAACGGCUCACCAAGGCGACGAUACAUAGCCGACCUGAGAGGGUGAUCGGCCACACUGGGACUGAGACACGGCCCAGACUCCUACGGGAGGCAGCAGUAGGGAAUCUCCGGCAAUGGACGGAAGUCUGACCGAGCAACGCCGCGUGAGUGAAGAAGGUUUUCGGAUCGUAAAGCUCUGUUGUAAGAGAAGAACGAGUGUGAGAGUGGAAAAGUUCACACUGUGACGGU